UGGGUCGAAACAGUGAUUUUUGGUACCACAUUGUCCUCCACUAUCUACCAUUGACCCCAAAUCUAGAAAUAGGAAGAUUUUCAGUUCUUAAUGAAAAUGGAAGUGUUCUAAAUAAAGGACACAUGCGAGCCCCAAGGAUUAAUACAUUAACACCUUUAUUGUCCUUAUCCCUAGAACAAUUCCUAAGUUGGAAUCCGGUAUAUAAGACAUGAGGAGGCAUGUCCUCGUCCCCACUGGCCUCUUUCCACAAAAGAAAGACCCUUAGUAAAUGGCUCCAAGCAUUGAGAAAGAGCUAGGUGGAGGCGAUGUUGUAUAGUCUAAUGAUGUACCUAAAGAAGGGGUGCAAAGGCAAUCUCAUGCCUCUACAAAGAAUGGCUUCGCUAACAGCAAUGCACUCCUACUUAGGAAAAUAGGCUCAUUUGUCAGGAGUGGGUACUAACAUCUCAAUAUUAUCAAGGAUCCUACAUCUUUCCCUAAAACUGAUUAGUUGACUCUGUUUCAUACAUAUCAACCAUAACGAUGCCCCCACCUUAUACUCUAAUCUACUGAUCCCUCCUACAUUAUCCAGGCACUAUGAGACUCCCGUAGCCUCCAUAAUCUUAUCAGUAUAGAUAAGAGCAAUUAAACCCAUCUUAGCAGCUAGUACGCUAAGAUCACCUAGUUCUGAGGUUUUAACACACUGGUCUUCCUAGUUAUUAAAGUCAUUGGUAAGACAAUUACAAAAUUCAAUUAGAAAAUGUGUUCUUCCUAAGACUACACUUAUAGAAACAAAAACGAACACAGGAAAAGAACGAUAACUGAAAAAUUGCUUUAUUCGCCAAGCGUUGCAAAGAAAACUUAGAACUUUCUUAGGAUUAAC
rnacentral:lncRNA from 1 species